AGAGUUUGAUCAUGGCUCAGAUUGAACGCUGGCGGUAUGCCUAACACAUGCAAGUCGAACGCGAAAGCACCUUCGGGUGUAAGUAGAGUGGCGGACGGGUGAGUAAGGCAUGGGAAUCUGCCCUAUAGCGGGGGAUAACUUGGGGAAACCCAAGCUAAUACCGCAUACACCUACGGGUAAAAGAUGGCCUCUUCUUGAAAGCUAUUACUAUAGGAUGAGCCCAUGUAAGAUUAGCUAGUUGGUAGGGUAAAAGCCUACCAAGGCUACGAUCUUUAGCUGGUCUGAGAGGACGAUCAGCCACACUGGGACUGAGACACGGCCCAGACUCCUACGGGAGGCAGCAGUGGGGAAUAUUGGACAAUGGGGGCAACCCUGAUCCAGCAAUACCGCGUGUGUGAAGAAGGCCUGCGGGUUGUAAAGCACUUUUAUCUGUGAGGAAGGGUUUAAUGUUAAUAC
rnacentral:rRNA from 1 species